rnacentral:sRNA from 1 species
CACACUCUGGGGAGGGGCUCCUUUGCCUGCUCGGGUGGGGAAGAGACAGACCCAUAAACUCAAGUGCAGUGAGAUGGGAGAAGAAGUUGUCCAUGUUCACACUGGGUGAAGGAAGCCGAAACCACAGACAUGACUGAGUCCUCCAUGAAGAAGCUGGCCUCCACCCUGCUGGAUGCCAUCACCGAUAAGGACCCCCUGGUGCAGGAGCAGGUCUGCAGUGCCUUGUGCUCCCUUGGGGAGGUGCGGCCGGUGGAGACGCUCCGUGCCUGCGAGGAGUACCUGCGGCAGCAUGACAAGCUGGUGCACCCAUACCGAGCGGCGGUCCUGAGGGCUAUGGAGAGGGUCCUGAGCAGUCGCGCCAGUGAGCUGGACAAGGACACAGCCAGCACCAUCAUCCUCCUGGCCUCCAACGAGAUGACCAAGACGAAGGACCUGGUCUGGGACUGGCAGCAGGCGGCGAGUGGUGUCCUGGUGGCCGUGGGAAAGCAGUUCAUCAGCAAGGUGAUGGAGGAGCUGCUGCGCAGGCUGCACCCCGGGACCCUGCCACACUGCGCCGUGCUGCACACCCUCGCCAGCCUCUCAGUGGCCAACGCGUUCGGCGUAGUCCCCUUCCUGCCAUCCGUCCUGAGCUCCCUGCUGCCCGUGCUGGGCAUGGCCAAGCAGGACACGGUGCGUGUGGCGUUCUGCUCCGCUCUGCAGCGCUUCAGCGAGGGUGCCCUGGAGUACCUGGCCAACCUGGACCGAGCCCCAGACCCCACGGUCAGGAAGGACGCCUUUGCCACCGACAUCUUCAGUGCCUACGAUGUUCUCUUCCACCAGUGGCUGCAGAGUCGCGAAGCCAAGCUGCGUCUUGCCGUGGUGGAGGCUCUGGGGCCUAUGAGCCAUCUGCUGCCCAGUGAGAGGCUGGAAGAGCAGCUGCCCAAGCUCCUCCCUGGGAUCCUCGCCCUCUACAAGAAGCACGCAGAGACCUUCUACUUGUCCAAGAGCCUGGGCCAGAUCCUCGAGGCGGCCGUGAGUGUGGGCAGCCGCACACUGGAGACCCAACUGGAUGCCCUCUUGGCUGCACUGCACUCCCAGAUCUGUGUGCCUGUGGAGUCCUCAAGCCCCCUGGUGAUGAGUAACCAGAAGGAGGUGCUGCGCUGCUUCACUGUGCUGGCCUGCAGCUCGCCUGACCGCCUACUGGCCUUCCUGCUGCCCAGGCUGGACACCAGCAAUGAGAGGACCCGCGUGGGCACCCUGCAGGUGGUCAGACAUGUCAUCAACUCGGCUGCUGCUCAGAUGGAAGAUAAAAAGCCCUUUAUCCUGUCUUCCAUGAGGCUUCCUCUCCUGGAUACCAACAGCAAGGUGAAGCGGGCAGUGGUGCAGGUGAUCAGCGCCAUGGCCCACCACGGCUACCUGGAGCAGCCUGGAGGUGAGGCGAUGAUCGAGUAUAUCGUGCAGCAGUGCGCGCUGCCCCCCGAGCAGGAGCCUGAGAAGCCAGGCCCCGGCAGCAAGGACCCCAAGGCCGACAGUGUGCGGGCCAUCAGCGUGCGCACCCUCUACCUGGUCAGCACCACCGUGGACAGGAUGAGUCACGUCCUCUGGCCAUACCUGCUCCAGUUCCUCAUCCCUGUGCGCUUCACCGGGGCCCUGACUCCGCUCUGCAGGAGCCUCGUGCAUCUGGCGCAGAAGAGGCAGGAGGCUGGGGCAGACGCCUUCCUCAUCCAGUACAACGCCCAUGCGAGCCUCCCGUCUCCCUAUGCUGUAACCGGAAGACUGUUGGUUGUGUCUUCCAGCCCCUACCUGGGGGACGGACGUGGGGUGGCAGCGCUGCACCUCCUCAGUGUUCUGCACCCAAACAUUCACCCUUUGCUGGGUCAGCAUUGGGAGACGACUGUCCCGCUGCUGCUGGGGUACCUGGAUGAGCACACAGAAGAGACCCUGCUACAGGAGGAGUGGGAGGAGAAGCUGUUGAUGUUCCUACGAGACACCCUGGCCAUCAUUUCUGACAACGCGUGGAUCUGCCAGCUGAGCCUGGAGCUGUGCAGGCAGCUGCCCUGCUACGACGAGGCACCCCAGGAGAAGAACUUCCUGUACAAAUGCAUAGGAACCACCCUGGGUGCUGCUUCAAGUAAGGAGGUGGUGAGGAAGCACCUUCAAGAGCUGCUGGAGACGGCCAGAUACCAGGAGGAGGCAGAACGCGAGGGCCUCGCCUGCUGCUUCGGGAUCUGUGCCAUCUCCCACCUCGAGGACACACUGGCCCAGCUGGAGGACUUCGUGAGGUCAGAGGUCUUCAGAAAAUCCAUUGGCAUUCUCAACAUUUUUAAGGAUCGAAGUGAGAACGAGGUGGAGAAGGUGAAGAGUGCUCUGAUCCUGUGCUACGGGCACGUGGCGGCCCGGGCCCCCCGGGAGCUGGUGCUGGCCAAGGUGGAGUCGGACAUCCUCCGGAACAUCUGCCAGCACUUCAACACCAAGGACCCAGCCCUGAAGCUGUGCCUUGUCCAGAGUGUGUGCAUGGUCAGCCGCGCCAUCUGCAGCAGCACCCAGGCUGGCUCCUUCCACUUCACCCGGAAAGCAGAGCUGGUGGCACAGAUGAUGGAGUUCAUCAGGGCAGAGCCUCCAGACUCCCUGAGGACACCUAUUCGGAAGAAAGCCAUGCUCACCUGCACUUACUUGGUCUCUGUGGAGCCUGCGCUGGACGAGCAGGCCCGGGCGGAUGUGAUCCGUGGCUGCCUGCACAGCGUCAUGGCCCUGCUGCCUGAGCCCAAGGAGGAGGACGGAGGCUGCCAGAAGUCCCUGUAUCUGGAGACGCUGCACGCCCUUGAGGAUCUGCUGACGAGCCUCCUGCAGCGGAACAUGACCCCCCAAGGCCUGCAGAUCAUGAUUGAGCACCUGAGCCCGUGGAUCAAGUCCCCAAGAGGUCACGAGCGGGCGCGGGCCCUGGGCCUGAGCGCCCUCCUGCUGCGCUACUUCCUGGAGCACCUGCGUGUCAGCGCCCUGGUGCCCUUCCACAACCUGGGCCUUCUCAUCGGCCUCUUCUCCCCACGGUGUGCGGACCUGUGGCCUGCCACCCGCCAGGAGGCCGUGGACUGUGUCUACUCCCUGCUCUACCUCCAGCUCGGCUAUGAGGGCUUCUCCCGGGACUACCGCGAUGACGUGGCGGAGCGGCUCCUCAGCCUCAAGGAUGGCCUCGUGCACCCUGACCCCGCCAUUCUCUUCCACACCUGCCACAGUGUAGGCCAGAUUAUUGCCAAGCGCCUCCCCCCAGACCAGCUCAUCAGCCUCUUGCUAACCAUGUUUGAGGCCCUGGGAGAUCCCGAAAAGAACUGCUCCCGAGCAGCUACCGUCAUGAUCAACUGCCUGCUGCAGGAGCGGGGCGGCGUGCUCCAGGAGAAGGUGCCCGAGAUCGUGAGCGUGCUGCGCUCAAAGCUUCAGGAGGCCCAGGGAGAGCACGUCCUGCCGGCCGCCCAGCACAGCGUGUACCUCCUGGCCACCCAGCACUGCUCGGCCGUGGUGUCCAGCCUCCUGGGCAGCCCCUUGCCCUUGGACAGGUACCUAGCUCAGACUCUAGGCUUAGGGGUCCCUCUGGAAUGAUGCUCCCCGAGCCCUCCACCCGGCUCUGCACCCCGACUUUCUGCACCCCAGCUUUCUGCAUGAGUUCCCAUGGCUGUAGGCCACGUGGGACAGAAAGUGACAUGGAGACAGGCCCCAGUCUCUCAGGUACACAUGAGGACCGCUCCUCUCCAGGCGUUUUGGGAUCCUCACUGGCCCCGGUGGGCCCUGCACAGCACCCCCACAGGGAAGCUGCUGUUUCUGCCCUCCUCUAAGGUCCCAAAACUGCCUGGCUGCUCUGUCGGCCCCAGGCUCCAGCACACACUGGAGGCUGCCCCUCACCCUGUGUCUUGGUUCCAGCUGCCCCAAGCCUUGUCCUCUGCAGGGCAUCCACUGCUGCCUGUGAGCAGACCCCCGGGAACUGCCUGAUCUGAGCCCCCUCAGGAGCCCAAGGACAACCUUGUCUGUACCAUACAUCACUAUGUCUUCCCAAACUCACACCUCCCAGCUUCCAGCAAAGGGCAGGGCGUGUCUACCACCCACCAGCCCAGUGGGGUCCCCCUUCCUCACUGAGGCCUCCGGAGCAUGGGUCUGCUGGCCCUUCCUUUCUUUGCCAUCUUAGUCGUGGAUAGAGGCUGGCCCAGGGGCACCUGCCUUCCUAUGACCUCCAGGAGACUCCAUGCUGGGCAAGGCAGAGUGACCCUUCCCCUGGCAGGCGGGGGCACGAGGCUGCCGUGGGGACGCAGGUUUCCUUGCACCUGGCCCUUUACCCUGUCAGCUUUGCUUUUUUUCAUAUGCUCUGAGGCCCUCCCAUUAGGUGCAUCCAAGCUGCAAUGCCCACUUCCUCCUGGCAGGGGGGACCCGCAGGCACCUUCUGCUCAGAGGUGCACUUGUCUGGUGGGCCUGCUCCUUCCUGGUACUGUUGACCUUUCUGUGUGUUUGUUUUAAAUCUCUUGCAUGGUAAAUAGCUGCAUUUUGUUACUGAUAGAGGGAGUUUAAAUCCACUGUCAUAUCUUUUGCGUCUUUGUUACACGUUUUGUUUUUUAAAAAUCUUCUUUCUUAUCCUUUUUUAGAUUGACAGUGUCCCUCUUACCUCACUUUCUCCACUCAGUUUGCAAUCCUGCAGUCUGUUGCUUUUCUUUUAGCAUUUGCCCUAAAGGUGGCUGCAUGUGUCCUCGCUGAAGUCCAGCAUGGGCCCCGAAUGCAGGCUGAGGUCUGGGUCUGGCUGGGCUGCUGGGCAUCCGAGUCGUCAUGACUGUUGUUCUUGGGCACAGCCAGCGUUGACUUGUAUUUCCUCCGUGAUUACCGCCUGGCUCAUCAGUUUUCGCUUUCCGUGGAGGCAUGGCUCACGCAAAGGGCAAGCACGGAGUCACUGGGCCCUGCGGGACUUUCCAGGUCAAGGCAGAGGAGGUGUCCAGUCCCCAGCAGGCUCCUAUGUGCCCCUCAGUCCCCUAGAGGGUCAGGGCCACCUGACCGCCACCACUAGAGGUUUUGGCGAUUGUGCUGUGUGCUGGGUCUUCCCAGCCUCUGCUUAGCACGGCGGUGCUGCUUCCCAUCCUUCCUCCUUGCCGGGCAGUGCCGGGUGCUGUGUGCGCUGCACCGUGUGUCUGUUUCUAGGUGAUGGACAUUCGGGUUGUUUUUGGUUUGGGGCUGCUGGGGAUGGCGAUGCUUUGAAUGUUCCUGGGAGUGUCUGUUGGUGGGUAGAGCAUGCAUUUCUCUUUCGUGUGUAUAUAGGAGUGGAAUCAAGUCCGGGCACUGUGGCUCAUACCUGUAAUCCCAGCAGUGUGGGAGGCUGGAGGAUCACUUGGGGUCAGAAGUUUGCGACCAGCCUGGCCAACAUGGUGAAACCCUGUCUCUACUAAAAAUAUAAAAAUUGGCCAGGCAUGGCCAGGCGCAGUGGCUCACGCCUGUAAUCCCAGCAUUUUGGGAGGCCGAGGCGGGUGGAUCAUGAGGUCAGGAGAUCAAGACCAUCCUGGCUAACACGGUGAAACCCCGUCUCUACUAAAAAUACAAAAAAUUAGCCAGGCGAGGUGGCGGGCGCCUGUAGUCCCAGCUACUGGGGAGGCUGAGGCAGAAGAACGGCAUGAACCUGGGAGGCGGAGCUUGCAGUGAGUCGAGAUCACCCCACUGCACUCCAGCCUGGGUGACAGAGCGAGAACUCCGUCUC